rnacentral:rRNA from 1 species
GCGAACGCUGGCGGCAGGCUUAACACAUGCAAGUCGAACGGGCAUCUUCGGAUGUCAGCGGCAGACGGGUGAGUAACACGUGGGAACGUACCCUUCGGUUCGGAACAACUCUGGGAAACUGGAGCUAAUACCGGAUACGCCCUUAUGGGGAAAGGUUUACUGCCGAAGGAUCGGCCCGCGUCUGAUUAGCUAGUUGGUGGGGUAACGGCCUACCAAGGCGACGAUCAGUAGCUGGUCUGAGAGGAUGAUCAGCCACACUGGGACUGAGACACGGCCCAGACUCCUACGGGAGGCAGCAGUGGGGAAUAUUGGACAAUGGGCGCAAGCCUGAUCCAGCCAUGCCGCGUGAGUGAUGAAGGCCUUAGGGUUGUAAAGCUCUUUUGUCCGGGACGAUAAUGACGGUACCGGAAGAAUAAGCCCCGGCUAACUUCGUG